UACGUAGGGGGCAAGCGUUGUCCGGAUUUAUUGGGCGUAAAGAGCGUGUAGGCGGCCUGGAAGGUCAGCUGUGAAAACUCGAGGCUCAACCUCGAGACGUCGGUUGAAACCACCUGGCUAGAGUCCGGAAGAGGAGUGUGGAAUUCCCGGUGUAGCGGUGGAAUGCGCAGAUAUCGGGAGGAACACCUGUGGCGAAAGCGGCUCACUGGACCGCAACUGACGCUGAGGCGCGAAAGCUAGGGGAGCAAACAGG
rnacentral:rRNA from 1 species